CCUACGGGGGGCAGCAGUGGGGAAUAUUGGGCAAUGGGCGCAAGCCUGACCCAGCAACGCCGCGUGCAGGAAGAAGGCUUUCGGGUUGUAAACUUCUUUUCUCAGGGACGAAGCAAGUGACGGUACCUGAGGAAUAAGCCACGGCUAACUACGUGCCAGCAGCCGCGGUAAUACGUAGGUGGCAAGCGUUAUCCGGAUUUACUGGGUGUAAAGGGCGUGUAGGCGGGAAAGCAAGUCAGAUGUGAAAACCAUGGGCUCAACCUGUGGCCUGCAUUUGAAACUGUUUUUCUUGAGUACUGGAGAGGCAGACGGAAUUCCUAGUGUAGCGGUGAAAUGCGUAGAGAUUAGGAGGAACACCAGUGGCGAAGGCGGUCUGCUGGACAGCAACUGACGCUGAGGCGCGAAAGCGUGGGGAGCAAACAGGAUUAGAUACCCUUGUAGUC
rnacentral:rRNA from 1 species